GUACGGGAGGCAGCAGUCGAGAAUUUUUCACACUGGGGGAAACCCUGAUGGAGCGACGCCGCGUGGGGGAUGAAUGGCUUCGGCCCGUAAACCCCUGUCAUUCGCGAACAAACCUUAUCCGUGAACAACGGAUGAGUUGAUAGUAGCGGAAGAGGAAGGGACGGCUAACUCUGUGCCAGCAGCCGCGGUAAUACAGAGGUCCCAAGCGUUGUUCGGAUUCACUGGGCGUAAAGGGUGCGCAGGUGGUCGGGUAAGUCUGAUGUGAAAGCUCGGAGCUCAACUCCGAAAUGGCAUUGGAUACUAUCCGGCUAGAGGAUCGGAGGGGGGACUGGAAUUCUCGGUGUAGCAGUGAAAUGCGUAGAUAUCGAGAGGAACACCAGUGGCGAAGGCGAGUCCCUGGACGACUCCUGACACUGAGGCACGAAAGCUAGGGGAGCAAACAGGAUUAGAUACCCUGGUAGC
rnacentral:rRNA from 1 species